AAGAGUUUAGUCGCAUUUCAUAUCUUUUCGAGGUUUCUAGUAUUUCUUUUAAAUCAUCCGGGUGAUCCUCUGCCUCCUUGGAUUUUAUUAAAAUGUCAUCUACGUAGGCCAUAACAUUUUUUGUCAAUGAGCCUCUGGAAGGUUGCUCCUGUGUUUCGUAGUCCGAAUAGCAUAACCUUGUAACAGAAUAUCUGCCAAUCCGUGACGAAUGAUGUGGCUUCUUCAUCUUCC
rnacentral:lncRNA from 1 species